UGGGGAAUAUUGGGCAAUGGGCGCAAGCCUGACCCAGCGACGCCGCGUGGGCGAUGAAGGCCUUCGGGUUGUAAAGCCCUGUCAUGCGGAAAGAACGACCCUGUGACGCAUACUCACAGGGAGUGACGGUACCGCAGGAGGAAGCACCGGCUAACUCCGUGCCAGCAGCCGCGGUAAUACGGGGGGUGCAAGCGUUGUUCGGAAUUAUUGGGCGUAAAGGGCGCGUAGGCGGUAAUGUAAGUCAGAUGUGAAAUACUCCGGCUCAACCAGAGAAUUGCAUCUGAAACUGCAUAACUAGAGUACAGAAGAGGGAAACGGAAUUCCCGGUGUAGAGGUGAAAUUCGUAGAUAUCGGGAGGAACACCAGUGGCGAAGGCGGUUUCCUGGUCUGAUACUGACGCUGAGGCGCGAAAGCGUGGGGAGCAAACAG
rnacentral:rRNA from 1 species